rnacentral:rRNA from 1 species
GAUGAACGCUGGCGGCGUGCUUAACACAUGCAAGUCGAACGAAGUGGCGAACGGGUGAGUAACACGUGGGUAACCUGCCUCUCUUUUUGGGAUAAGCUCUGGCAACGGGGUCUAAUACCGAAUAAAGGCGGAUGGGUUCGCGGCCUAUCAGCUUGGUGGUGGGGUGAUGGCCUACCAAGGCGGUGACGGGUAGCCGGCCUGAGUGGGUAACCGGCCACAGUGGGACGGUGAUGAGGCCCAGACUCCGACGGGGGGCAGCAGUGGGGGAUAUUGCACAAUGGGCGAAGGCCUAAUGCAGCGGCGCCGCGUGGGGGAUGAAGGUUUUCGGGUUGUAAAACUAUUUAGCUAUAGAAGGGGUAGGUAGUGAGAAAGCGCCGGCUAACUACGUGCCAGCAGCCGCGGUAAUUC